AGAAAGAGGCUUCUCCAACCCGACCCGGCCCUUCCUUCCCCUUUGCCGCAGUGGUUGCCUCCUCCUCCCCUUCCUCCUCCUCUGGCUGCUUAGUCUCACACCCGCCGGGCCGUUGCUCCCGAGACGUUGUUGAGUUCCCUGUGUCCUCUUCUGGGUGGAGGAACUGCAAUGUCUGGUGAACAGAAACCAGAGAGGUACUAUGUGGGUGUGGACGUUGGAACAGGCAGUGUCCGUGCAGCUCUGGUGGACCAGAGUGGGGUCCUGUUGGCUUUUGCAGACCAGCCAAUUAAGAAGUGGGAGCCCCAGUUCAACCAUCAUGAGCAGUCCUCCGAGGACAUCUGGGCUGCAUGCUGUGUUGUCACAAAGGGGAUUCCCAUCGAAACGUCAUCAUGUGGCUGGAUCAUCGAGCAGUCAUUCAAGUCAACAGGAUCAAUGAGACCAAGCACAGUGUCCUCCAGUAUGUCGGCGGGGUGAUGUCUGUGGAAAUGCAGGCCCCGAAACUUCUGUGGCUGAAAGAGAACUUGAGAGAGACUUGCUGGGAUAAGGCGGGACAUUUCUUUGAUCUCCCAGACUUCUUAUCGUGGAAGGCAACAGGUGUCACAGCACGGUCUCUCUGCUCCCUGGUGUGUAAGUGGACAUAUUCAGCAGAGAAGGGCUGGGACGACAGUUUCUGGAAAAUGAUUGGUUUGGAAGACUUUGUUGCAGAUAAUUACAGCAAAAUAGGAAACCAAGUGCUACCUCCUGGAGCUUCUCUUGGAAAUGGGCUCACACCAGAGGCCGCAAGAGACCUUGGCCUUCUCCCUGGGAUUGCGGUCGCAGCUUCACUCAUUGAUGCCCAUGCAGGAGGACUAGGAGUGAUUGGGGCAGAUGUGAGAGGGCACGGCCUCGUCUGUGAGGGGCAGCCAGUGACGUCACGGCUGGCUGUCAUCUGUGGAACGUCUUCUUGUCACAUGGGGAUCAGCAAAGACCCGAUUUUUGUACCAGGCGUCUGGGGCCCUUAUUUCUCAGCCAUGUUACCUGGGUUCUGGCUGAAUGAAGGUGGUCAGAGCGUUACUGGAAAAUUGAUAGACCACAUGGUACAAGGCCAUGCUGCUUUUCCAGAACUACAAGUAAAGGCCACAGCCAGGUAACUGCUGUCUCUGUUCCCUCUAAAAUUUUCCUUGUGUGACUGUAUUGAGAGAAUUCACGUUGGGCAGUUGGGUGAUUUUCAGAUCCUACGGACAAUGAAAAUGCCUGUUAGUGCUUGAAAGAUAGUCAUCUGGAUGAUCCAGAAGAUACAUGUAUUAAUUCUUUAAAUGAUGUAAGAGAACUUAGAGAACCUAGAGAUACCCCAAGAAUAUACCCAGGGACUAUGGAUAAGAAACUCUGAUGUGGAAGAAGGACCAUGGAUUCUGAAGUCAUAGUUUCACGUGCUAGCCAUACUCCUUAAUAGAUACAGGACCUUGAGCUAGUUACUUAACCUCUUUAUGCCUGUCUCUUCAUCUGUAAAACUGAAGAUAAGAACGAUAUGGAGUGAUUUCUAGAAUAUUUUGAAGCAAGCUGAGUGCAAAAAAAUAUUUACGAUAUAAUCCCUUUCGUGUAAAAAGAAAGACUUAGGAAAAUACAUGUGUAUCUGUUCAUUUUUGCAAAAGAAAUACAGGAAGGUGGCCAGGCGCAGUGGCUCACUCCUGUAACCCCAGCACCUUGGGAGGCCGAGGCAGGCAGAUCACGAGGUCAGAGAUCGAGACCAGCCUGGCCAACAUGGUGAAACCCCAUCUGCAGAGAUCGUGCCACUGCACUCCAGCCUGGGCAAUAAAGUGAGACUCCGUCUC
rnacentral:sRNA from 1 species